rnacentral:rRNA from 1 species
UACGUAGGGGGCUAGCGUUAUCCGGAAUUACUGGGCGUAAAGGGUGCGUAGGUGGUUUCUUAAGUCAGAGGUGAAAGGCUACGGCUCAACCGUAGUAAGCCUUUGAAACUGAGAAACUUGAGUGCAGGAGAGGAGAGUAGAAUUCCUAGUGUAGCGGUGAAAUGCGUAGAUAUUAGGAGGAAUACCAGUUGCGAAGGCGGCUCUCUGGACUGUAACUGACACUGAGGCACGAAAGCGUGGGGAGCAAACAGGAUUAGAUACCCUGGUAGUCCCUGAGCGGG